rnacentral:lncRNA from 1 species
CAAAAAUCACAUUUUAAAAGCUUUCUUGCAAAUAUAAAGACAAUUAAAAUCACACAUUUUAAAGUUGGUAAUUUUUAGUAAAUAUAUUGAGUUGUGUACCUAUAUCCAUAAUGGACUUUUGGAUGUUUCUGUCACCUGAAAAAUUCCCAUUGUGUUUCAGUGCAGUUAAAUCUGCACCCACCCACCCCCAGCCACAUGAACUACAGUUAUGCUUUUUGUCUCUAUGGAUUUUCCUGUUCUUAGCAUUUCAUGUAAAUGGAAUUAUGAUAUUUGAUCUUUUGCAUCUGGCUUCGUUCACUUCAGAUAAUAUUUUCAAGGUUCAUCCAUAUUCUAGCAUGUAGAAUUCAUUUCUUUCUAUGGAUGAAUAACAUUCUGUUUUAAGGAUAUACUGUGUUUUGUUUAUCCAUUAAUCUUUGCAUAAUUUCCACUUUUUAUUAAUUGUGAAUGAUGGUGCUGUGUACACUUAUUACAAGUUUUGACAUAGACAUGUUUUUAUUUCUCUUGAGUAUAUACUUAGGAGUGGGAAUUGCUGGGCAUGUGGUGAUUCCAUGUUUAUCUAUUUGAGGAACUGCUAGAAUACUUUCAUGGCCCUGACAAUCAUGAGGCUUAGUCAGUUUUUCUCCAUGUUAGAUAAUUUUAUGAGUUUUGAGAAACAAUACCACAGAGUUGAAGCACCCUUCUUGCUACAUCAUAUCUGGUACUACAUGAUGCUUACAUGACAUAGUUUUCACUUGGUUAAGGCAAUGUUUUCUUAAGUUUCUUCUAGCAUACAGUAACAAUUUUCCAUUUGCCUAGAGAGCAUGUAGAGACAAGAAAGAAAAUGCUGGCGUGUUUCUCUUUUCACUGUGAAUCCAUGCCAUUUCUGUGUGGUGGGAUGAGUGUCCUAAUAGGGAAGGGGGUAGGGAAGAAGGGAAUUGAUUAUAUCAUAACCAUUCAUCUGAAGUCACUGUCUACCCCAUUUCUUCAUGUUUCCCAAAUUUUCCUGUCUCCUACUUUUAUCCCCUGUUUUACAUGAGAGAAGCAUAUUUCCUUGAGCUCCUGAAGGGAGAGAGCAAUCUUCAUGCUGUGUAUUCUGGAAAUGAUGCUGGAGCAAGACAGACAGAUCUCCCUGGGCAAGCAUUAUAUCCAAACCAGAAACUCUGGAACAUUCUUGACUUGGGGGUAAGUCUCUUCACUCUCUUAUCCUCACCUGGGAACACAUGUAUCUGUUGUGUGUGAGUGUCUUUGCUCUGUGGUAGAGUGGUGACAAAGAAAAUAGACAGGUGGGGACUAAGUUCUUGGUGAAUGAAUCAAUACCCAGGGCAGAGGCUCCAGUUCCUCUGUUUUGGAUUCUAUUCUCAUGUUGAGCAUUUAUCAUCUUUCUGUCCCUUCCCAGGGGUGACCUAGAUGCCUACUUUCUCUCUAUGUCGCCUACUGUCACAAAGGGGUAGGAAAAAUAGCAACGAGAGAGAGAGAGAGAGAGAGAGAGAGAGCGAGCGCGCGCCACACUGGAGGACCUGCUGUUCUCCUCUGUCCUGGAGGAGUUGGGAAAAAAAGAAGAAAAUCAGCAUCCUAUUUCCUCUUGUUGUAGAUACUAUCAUGUUCCCAAUUUUUCAGUACACUUAAACUCAUAGACCAGCCAACCCACGUGACACUAUAGUUAGGCCUCAUGGCACAAAGAUUUUAUCACCACCACCAUCUUUAAUAUGGGGGGUUGUCGAGUGAGUACUUACAUAUAGGGCAUAGUACUGGGAAAGUUGAAAAUGACCAUUUUCCAAAUGGGAAGCUGCUGGUUCUUUUGCAGGGAGAGCAAGAAAUGGAACCUCAUUUCUAUCCUGCCACUUAUCUGGAGAGAGUCUUAGACUUUGUGAGACUGAGCUUGGUCACAUGUGAAAUGGCACUCACCAUUCCUUCACACUGACAUCUGAUGGUAAAUAAGAAAUGCUGAAAAGUACCCAUGGGACACAGUGUGAGUCCUGUUUCCACUGCCUCUUCCCUCCCAGGAGGAGAUGUCAUUGGCCAAAGCUCAAAAGUGUAAAUGCAUAGAGAGCCUGUGCAAAGGGAGCAGCAAGCAUUGAAAUAGAUCCCAGAAUGUGUAAGCUUUGGGCCAGUGUCAAGCUGUGGUUUGUGUUACCUGAUGGUUGGGACAGAGGAAUAAAUUAUGGCACCAUUUCCUAUUAUUACAUAUGCUUGCUGUCCCCUUAGUUUGCCAUACUGUUUGAUACCAGAGGCGCAGUUUCCCAUUGAUUCUGAGGUAGAGCAGACAACAUGGAUGCUGGACCAAAGAUGAGAGUCAAGACACUGGACACCUCCCUGACUGCAGAUUCUUGGGUGAGUCACUUUCCCUGUGCUGGCCUCACCCUAGCACAGUGAUGCCCUAUAAUAGUGGCCUGAGCUCUGGGUCAAAAACCAGUUUCAGUCUGGACACCACUGAUGAAGUUUGAGUGAUUUUUUAAAAAAAUUGUCUUGAAUCUCCAUGCGGUAGGCAGAAUUCUAAGAUGACAUCCAAUGACCUUCACCCUUGUGUAAUCUCCUCCUCUUUGAGCAUGGUUUGUAUCUGUGAAUAUGAUAUGUGUUCCAUGAUUGUGUUCUGUUAUGUAGCAAAAGAGAGACUAUUUGGGUAGGCCUGACCUACUCAGUUAAGUUCUUUUUUUUUUUUUCUUUUUUUCUUUCUUUCUUUUUUUUUGGUACCGGGUAUUGAACUCAGGAGCACUCAGCCACUGAGCCACAUCCCCAGUCCUAUUUUGUAUUUUAUUUAGCGACAGGGUCUCACUGAUUUGCUUAGUGCCUCACUUUUGCUGAGGCGGGCUUUGAACUUGCAAUCCUCCUGUCAGCCUCCUGAGCCACUGGGAUUACAGGCAUGUGCCAUCACACUUGGCCUCAGUCAAGUUCUUUAAAAGUAUUUUUUUCUGGCUGUUCUAAGUAGGGGAAGUCAGAGAUUCACAACCCAGGAAGCAUUCAAUGCACCAUCAUUGGCUGGAAGAUGAAGGUGGCUAUACAGCAGAAAAUUGGACUAGUCCCUAGGAGCAAGGAACCUUCAUAGAUGACAGCCAUAAGGAAAAUGAAGACUUCAGUCCAGUAGUCACAAGUAAAUUAUUUCUGUAGCAACAAGCAUGAUAUUGGAAUUAGAUUACUCCCCAGAGGCUUCAGUUGAGACCUCAGUGGGACCUACACCAAUACCUGGAUUUUUCCCUAAGCACACAAUUAGGUCAUGCUGUGCCAGACCUCUGACCUAUAGAUCUGUGAGCUAUUGAAUGGGUGUAGAUGUUAGUCCCCACACAUGUGGGUACACAACUGCAGAAAAUUCAUCCAUUCCAGUUAAGCUGGAUUCAUACUCAUUGCAUAUAGAGUGUAUAUGUGUGCAGAUGAUACUUGGAGAGAAUAUAACACAUGAUAACUUUUACUAGUGCACGGUGAAGCUGAUGGUUAUGGAUAUAUUCAUAGUGGUAUCUGAAUUCAUUUCCCACAUUUACCAAGAGGAUGAUGGGCUACCUGUUAAUCAGAGAUAAAUAAAACCCAAUAGAGUUUUCUUAAUGUAAACAUAUUAGAAUUCAGACAUUUGAAAGGUAUAAUAAAUACCAUAAUAACCAGAUAUGUCCACAACCAAGACUGUAAAAUUAAACAUCAGAGUAAAUACACCUGGAUGACUUUUCUGAUGCCUUAUCCCCAAAAGGACCCAUUAUCCAAAAUCUGUUUUUGACAUUCUCCUGCUUUGCUCCACGUUUUACCCCUGUGACUAUAUCCCUAAACAAAACCCAUGGUUGCUUUACUUAUUUUAAGCUCUUACAUAAGUAGUAUAUUUAUAUUUAUAUACUACUUAUUGAUUUUUUCUUCACUGAACAUAAUGUUUUUGAAAUCUCUCUAAUAAUGCAGCUUUGGGGUUUUGAUAUUUUAGCUAAGCUUGGUGACCUGCUUGCAUAUUUGUCUGAGGCACUGAGUAUUCCAGUGUUCCAACCACUAACAGGCGUUUCUAGUGCUGAGGACAAAUCUGUGAAUUGUGGUUGCCAUAGAAACCAGAUGUCAUUAUGGCCACUAUGGUGACUGUGAUGACAUUUUAAAGGAGACCCACUUGCUAUGGUUGGAGAGCAGUGUCCCACCUUCAGGUGUUUGGACUCAGCAGAGGGUGUGGGUGCCCCACAAUGAGGAUUGAGGCAUGGAGAGACAAAGGCAUCUGAGACCCAAAUCACCUUGUUCCCACACUGGGUCUUGGUGCCCUGCUGACUCAAGAGGGAGAGAAAUAUGGAACCCUCCUGGCCCCAGGCAGUGUGGUGUACUGUGUGGAUAUUAUAGGAUCAUAGAUGCCUGUAUAAAUUAGACCACUUCUUAUUCAUUUUCAAAUUUGUUUUUAGCAGAUGAGAGAUAAGUAACAGAGAAUAAAAAGGUCCUGGUGAGAAGCCCAUUGUACCUCUGGUUGUAAUAAUCACUACCCAGUUGUACCAGUGCCUAGCAUGGUACUAGGUACACAGUUCCUCUUGUGAGGCACAGUGAUUCUUGGGUUCUCUUUUUUCCUGAGAAAUUCCUCUUGGGCUUAUUAUAUCAAAUGUCUGAAGGAGGCAGUUUCCGAGGAUCUGAGUGGUGAUGGCUGCUGAACUUCUACCCCACAUGUAAAUGCUGCAGUGCUCAGGAGACCCCUGGUGUGAUAUGAGUCUUGGUUCAUGUGAGUUCAUAGAGCUAAACAUAGUCAUGUUAUUGAAUAUUGUCUACAAGGUUCACAAAAUCAUAUAAAAGUAGACAAGCUCUUUUAACAUCAUCAUUUGAAGAAGAAAAUGGAGUUUUGUCCCAUUGGCAACUUAUAUGCUUUGUUGUAGCCCUUGAGGCUCAUUCAUCCUAGAGAUGGCUUCUUAGUCUGAAAGCAAUGAAUCCUUCAGCUUGUGGUAGGAACUUGAUAUUUAACAGGUAUGUUCAAUAAAUUUCAUUUACUUUUUGAUUAUAUGCAUAAAAAAACUGUGAUUCCUAUCAAAAUCUUCAGAUGAGUAUUGAAAUAUACAGUUGGUUAGAAGGCAUUGUGAAAUUGUAAUAUGGAAUUGAAUCAUCCUUGGUAGCCAAGUUUUAUGCAUUCUUAAAUUUUUGUAGAAACCAACUAUUAUCUAAGGAUUAGUUUAAUAUAAUUUUUAUGUUUUUCAAAAAUAUUAAUUAAAAUAGAAUUUAUCCUAUUGUAAUUCAGAGCUAUGUUGUUUAAAAUAACCAAAUACACUGAAUAUCAGUAUGAUUAUUUUAUCAGGUUGUACCAUUUCAGUUUUAGACUUCAGAAAGAAAUGUGCAUCACCUUUCCCUAAAUAUUUAGAUAGACCUCAUUGCAAAUGAUUGCUUCUAUUUUGGUCAUAUGUUGUAUGGAAAACUCAAAAAGACCUAGUGAUUAUCUAUUAAUAUGACAGGAUCAUCUUAGUGGAAAUUAUUCUAUUUAAAUGUAUUUCACCAAAUCUCUGAAGAAUACAAGCAUAUUUCCAAUACUUUAUUGAUGUAUGAUUCAUGUGUAAUUCACUGUGCGUAUUUAAAGUCUUUGCUGAAGUAUUGACAUCUGUAUGCACCAGUGAAGCCAACACUACAGCAAAGGAAAUAUAUAUCCAUCCCCCCAAAAAGUGUUUUCCUGCCCCUUUGCCAUCCUCAUACCCACAUAUCUCCUUCCAGCCUCCCUGCCUCUCCCACCCCUCCCCAUUUUCAAGCAACUACUGUUACCUCACUAUUGAUUAUUUUGUCUUUCUUAUAAUUUUAUGUAAGCAGAUUCAUAUAUGUAUUCACUUUUGUCUGGCUUCUUAUAUUCAACCUAUUAAUUUUAGAUUUAUCCAUAUUGUUUCCAUUUUAAUUGCUGAGCACUAUUCCAUUAUAUAGAUAUGCCACAAUUUGGUUUUAUCUAUCCACUUUAUUAUGGAUGAUGAGCUUUCAUUGUGUAUAAAUUCUCUCUCUCUCUCUCUCUCUCUCUCUCUAUAUAUAUAUAUAUAUAUAUAUAUAUAUAUAUGAUUUCUUUGUCUAGAGUACAUAACUAGGAAUGCAGUGGCUGGAGCCUAUGGUAGACAUAAAAUAAUUAUCGUCAGAAACUGCCAAAAUCUUUUCCAAAGUGGUUGUAUCAUUUUUCAUUCUCAUGAGCAAUAUAUGAGAGUUCAUUCUCCACAGCCUUGUCAACAAUUGGUAUGGUCAGUCUUUUUUAAUUUUAGCCAUGUUCAUGGGAGUGUAGUGGUAUCUCAUUGUAGUUUUCAUUUAUAUUUCUAAAACAAUGAUGUUGAACAUAUUUUCAUAUGAUUAUUUGCUAUUUAUAUAUAUUAUUUGGUGAAGUGUCUGUUCACAUUGUUUUCCUAUUUAUUUAUUGUGUCUUUUUUUCUUUUUAUUGAUUUCUAAUUUCUGGAUAUGUUACUAGUCAGACAUAUUACUUUCAUACACUUUUUUUCAAAGUUAUUUUAUUUCUUUAUUUAAUUUUGGUACUGGGUAUUGAACCCAUGGAUGCUUUAACAUUGAGCUACAUCUCCAGCCAUUUUUUUUUAACAUUUUGAGACAGGGUCUUGAUAAGAGGCCUAGGUUAGCCUCCAGCUUGCAAUCCUCCUGCUUCAGCCUCCCGAAUCACUGGGGUUACAGACAUGCAUCACUGUACCCAGCUUUUUCACAAUCAUUGCUUCUCUUUUCAUUAUCUCAACCAUGUUUUUGGAAGAGUAAAACUGUUUAAUUUUGAGGAGGACCAUUUAUAAUUUUCUUUCUUUAAAGUUAAGAUGCUUCUAUUGGUCUUAUCUAAGUUUUACCUAACCCAUGUUUAUAAGGAUUUUCUCCUGUGUUUCUUUACAGCAGCUUACACAUUUAGGUUUUAUGUUUAAGUGUCAGAUUCAGUUUGAGUUCAGUUUUGUGUGUGGUACAGUAUAUGUACCACAAUUCAUUUUUGGAUAUCCAUUUGUGCUAGAACCAUUUGUUGAAAAGACCUUCCUUUCUCUCCUUAAUUGCUUUUGCUCCUUUGUUGAAAAUUAGUUGUCCAUCCAGGAGUGAGUCUAUUUCUGGACUCUUUAUUCUGUUCCUUUGAUGUAACAGGGUUCCACUUCAUGCUUUGAGUGUAAACAUUGCUGCCCCACCACCACAGGUGGAUCACUUUAAAACUGGCAUUUUUUUUCUUAUUUUUCCAUUUUCUUCAUAUUUAUCCUCUCCACAUCCCUAAUGGCAGGGGAAACAAGACCAACAUUUUUCCCAGCCCACGCUAAGCUAUCAUGUCCUUCACACCUUGAACAAUAUCACUGUCCACAAGAAUAAAGCAACUCCAAACCUGGGAGCUGGAGCAACAGCUCUCUCAAGGACAUCCACUGGACACUAAUUACUUAUAUCUACUGAUAAUGUUUAUAUCCCAGUUCUUGUGUUCCUCCCUUAAAAUUCCUGUGUUCCCACAGGCAGGGAGAAUCAGCCUCUGGAACAGGAGUCCCCAGUGUUUCUACUUUGCUAAUAAAUCAAUAAAACUUCUUACUUUUUCUCAAAACCUGUCCUCAUUAUUAAAUCGUCAGUGGAGACAAGGACCAAGCUUUGGUAUCAUACUUACCUACCUUGAUACCAAAACCACAGUUUGAUUACUGUAGGUUUAUAAGGAAUCUUGAAAUCAGGUAGUAUUUGUCCUCUAACUUGGUUCUUUUUCUAAGUCAUUUGUUAUAGUCUAGGUCCUUUUUAUUUCUACAUGAUUUUAACAUCAGUUUAUAAAUUUCUUUUAAUUUUUUGUAGGACUUUUAUUGAGAUUGCACUGAAUCUGUAUAUUAAUUUGAGGAGAAGAGACAUCUUAACAAUUCUGAGUCCCAUGAAUACCAUUUGUCUUCCACUUCUUUGAGUCUUCCUUAGUUUUCUUGGCAAUAUUUUAUAGGUGGUAAGUGUACAAAUAUUUUACA